rnacentral:rRNA from 1 species
UACAGAGGUCUCGAGCGUUGUUCGGAUUCAUUGGGCGUAAAGGGUGCGUAGGUGGCGCUGUAAGUCGGGUGUGAAAUCCUGAGGCUUAACCUCGGAACUGCAUUCGAUACUGCGGUGCUUGAGGACUGGAGAGGAGACUGGAAUUCACGGUGUAGCAGUGAAAUGCGUAGAGAUCAUGAGGAAGACCAGUGGCGAAGGCGGGUCUCUGGACAGUUCCUGACACUGAGGCACGAAGGCCAGGGGAGCAAACGGG